GUGAGGAAUAUUGCGCAAUGGAGGCAACUCUGACGCAGCCAUGCCGCGUGCAGGAAGAAGGCGCUACGCUUUGUAAACUGCUUUUAACCGGGAAGAAACCCCAGGACGUGUCCUGGGUUGACGGUACCGGAGGAAUAAGCACCGGCUAACUUCGUGCCAGCAGCCGCGGUAAUACGAAGGGUGCAAGCGUUAUCCGGAUUCAUUGGGUUUAAAGGGUGCGUAGGCGGAGCGUUAAGUCAGUGGUGAAAUCCUGCAGCUUAACUGUAGACUUGCCAUUGAUACUGGCGCUCUUGAGUGCGCUUGAAGUGGGCGGAAUGUAACGUGUAGCGGUGAAAUGCUUAGAUAUGGCACAGAACACCAAUUGCGAAGGCAGCUCACUAAGGCGAUACUGACGCUGAGGCACGAAAGCGUGGGGAUCGAACAGGAUUAGAAACCCCGGUAGUCC
rnacentral:rRNA from 1 species